GCACCCCUUCCUCUCCGCCGCACCCCACAGCCAGUGACCUUCCUCUCCACCACACUCCACAGCCAGCAACCUUCCUCUCCGCCGCAGCCUGCAGCUCUCCACCGCAGCCCACAGCUGCAACCUACAGCAACCUCUGCCUCUCCACCGCAGCCCAUAGCCGCAACCCACGGCCAGCACCUCUGUUUUCUUUCAUUAACAACCAGUCCACUGCCACGGCUAAAACCGGUCCAAUUUGACUGGUUUCUCUAAUCCAUCGUUGAUUUCUGGUAAGUGUUGUCUCUUUUCGUAGGUAAAUUAUCCCAACAUGUACUGUAAUAAACUGCAUAAAUGGCGUGUAGCCAACAUGUACUUAAUUGAAUAUAUCACAUAAAUCACUUCAUAGAUCAUAACCAGAUUAUGUAUAAGCUUAUUCAAUUUUUUAAAUACAUUGUUUGCAACACUGAAUUUAAGGUAACAUGCUAUUACCAAGAUGAAAUUAGGCCAAAAUAUACUUACACCUGAAGUUUAGUACACUUUACCUGAAGUGCAAAUUGUUGAGAAAGUUGCUUUGGCUGGAUAUGUAUGUCGCAAUGAGAAGAAAUAGCUUCUUUUUUUUUUCUUCCCUGUGAGAGAAAAAAGGAAGAGAUGCUUUUGAGUUUUGAGCAACAUUACUAGCUUCCUAGAAAUAGAUCCUUUUUUUUUAAUUAUGGAGACAACUGUACCCAAUCUACAAUCCACAGUUUUCAAACUCGGGAUAAAACUUGAAUCAAUAAGCUUUCUGUUCAUGGUUCAACUGGGUCAAUGAUAUAAUAUUUUUUAAUUAUUUUAAUAUUACAUAAUUAGGAUGACAUUGAAAUAUUUUUUUAAAAAAAUAGUGAAAAAUGGUUCAAAAGCCUGGUUAAAAAAUACUGAGUACGUUUGGAUAGUGGAUUAUUUGGAAUAAUUGUGCAAAUAUUUAUUUGUUGACUUUUUGAAAAGUAUGGGUGAAAGAUAAUUGUUUGGAUAACAUGAGUAUAUUUCAAAUAGGUGUUUGGACACUUUAACAAUUAUUUGUCGAAUUUAUUCCAAAUAAGUGUUUGGAUAGCUUAACAAUUAUUUAAGUGCAAUGGGAAAGUCAUUCCAAUCACUUUGGAGCACAUUAAGUAAAUUGUUUAUAAAUAAACUUUCAAUUUUGGAUAAAAGCAGAUUAAUCCAAUACAAACCAUACACAUCUUAUCGAAUAUUACAUGGAACAUCCGAAACUUCUAUACGAUUUGAGGGGAAGUCUAAUUGAUACAUCAUAGUAGAAGGAAUGGAAGUUUAUUCGUUAUACCCUCAAUAAAAGCUUGGCAACCAUCUGGUCCCUUGCAAAAAGUAGAAAUGCAACUGGAGCGGCCCCGGCGCAGCCAUUAUUUAGUAUUACGCCGGUCCAAAGUAUGCCCCUGAGUUUCUAACGCCUUCUCUUACAUUGCGCGCCAUACAUUUCAGUUGCAAUCGCAUCUCGCCUAGCUUUCCAAGCCAUAAUCUCAGCUCGGGAUGCAUUCAAUGGCUGCACGUAAGGUAACUCACCGCCACUCUGUUGGUGCUCUAAUCUAACAUUACCGUCCUCAGCCAGUUGAAAAUGGGUGUCGCCUGGUUGGUGUAAGCGAAGAAAGUUGUGCAAUACACAACAAGCUAUAACAACAUUGACUUGAGUGGUCAUAUAAAAAUUUGGAACCGAUCCCUUCAAAAAUUUAAAUCUGUUCUUCAGAACUCCAAAUGUUCGUUCAAUGACAUUUCUAAGUUCCGAGUGGCGCAUAUUAAAUAAAAUUUUUUCAGGACUGGCCCGUGCUGCAUUCUUAUACGGUGGUAAGAAGCCUGGAACAUUCUUAUAUGCAGCAUCUACAAGGUAGUAUUUACCUUAAAUUGAAAAACGAAAACGAUUAGUUUUAUGAUGGCAGUUUACUUUUUAUGAAAACUUUAUAGUACUAUAUGUUGACCAAUAAAGUACCACUAAAAAAUAUACUACCUUGUUUAAAAUCCAGCUAAUUUAAAUAGAACAAACACAGAUUUAUAAUUUAAAAAAUUAGCAUGUUACUGAAAUAUCUGAAAUUUUUUUAAAGUACUAAAAUUACCUUUAAAAAAUGCUAUAUUCGUAAGUAGUUGUUAAUAGCACAAGCCAAAAAAAUAAAUCCACUAUUUUAUGGACUUAUGUGUGACAAAAUUGUAGUAAAUGAUUUAUACACACCAUCCAAAAAGUAGCAUAUACUUAAAUAGGUGCAGCAAAUAUAAUACAAGAGAGUUACCUUCAGGUGCCAUUGGGAAGUCUGACGGGUGUGACAGAGCAUCAUCUAACACUCGGGUAUCGUGUGCACUUCCCUCCCACCCAGCAUAUAUGUACGUGAAUCGCAUAUCGAAAUCACAUAUUGUCAGUAGAUUUUGCGACUGAAAUCCAUGUCGAUUUGUAUACGCCAUUUAGUGACCUGAGGGCGGGCACGCCGGAAUGUGAGUGCCAUCAAUUGCUCCCACUGCAUCCUGCAUUUCCCAACAAGAUAAAAUUUUAAUUUCUCUCUUACAAAUACGUUGUGAGUUUUGAGAUGGAAGAUCACUGCCAAAAUUUGUCAUUUUGAAUUUAGAUCAUUCACAGCCUAACCUUGAACCACGAGAAGUAUUUUGUCGAAUUUUCGAUCCUUGGAUGCACCUGAUCGUAGUCAAAAGGGCGAAUUAUUUGUGAAGCAAACAUACAAAGACCGCGCAGGACCUCCCUUACAUUGCGGUUAAUUGUCUCCGUUGAUCUAUCGAAACGCUCUGCCAAAACUCGUUGUUGGGCACUAUGACUUACCAUUACCAAAGCCAUGGCCAGUGCCUCCUCGAUUUUCACUCGUUUUUGAUAGUUUUGAGGUACGUACUUAUUGUAUUUUAGUAUGUCACAAAGUAGGAGGAAAUUGUCAACCGAAAUAUGACAAUUUUCGAUAAUUCAUUUGUAGUGACCAUUGAUCAACUCCUCAACCCAUUGACGCCCUAUGAGUGAGCCAUCAUGGUGUGGAAUUUUGAGUUUCGGACCUCCAUACCUUUCUACCUCCGAAUGUAGAAGUAUCAACUCAGCUGCAAGUCCAAGUAGCAAGGCAUCCUGGUUAUCAUCUGAUGCUUCGUCAUUGCUUGAACUACUAUUUCGGGAGCGAUUCAUAUCCCCUGGAGUAAAUACACAGCAAGAGAGUAUAUAGUUACACCAAGUGGGCUUUGUCCUUUGAAUAUUACAACAAGGGAGUUAAGCAAGAACUGAACAAGGAAGCUUUUAUUAAAAAAAAAAUUGAGAGCCGAUACUUAAACCUUCUACUCACGGGGCGUUCUGUUAUGUCGUUCGACGAACGGGAGCUUUGUCUUCGAAGCAGAGUGUUUCUUGCUGCUUUCCCCCAAAGUAGAGAAUUGUAAUAUGUGAUAUGCAUAGACACGGGCUCUUGUUAACAUAUAUAUAGAGCUCUGGAGACCUGCUAUCUUUUCAAACCACGGGCGCAUUAUUGUUCUUCUACUCGAGCCCUUGUUGAUAGAAUAGGCCACCGUUCCAGAAAUGCACGUACCGGCACUUGUGGCUAUCGGUGUCAUUCCUUUGGACAAUUGUUUCACAUGCCACGCCUUACCAGAUAUGACCACUCCCACCAGGCUGUUUUUGCUAUAAUUGUACAGGUUGUCGGCUUUUUUCCCCCAAUGUGUAUAUAUUCCUGACUCUCUAUCGUGACUACAUCACAUAAUAUAGAAUUUUGUAGAUUCGUAAAGAUUCGUACCUUAAGUGCUUUAAGAAAAAAGACAAACUAAUGUACAUUGCCAUUUUAAGUUAAAAUAUUGAAGGUGUGGGACUUUUGGUGCAAUUGUACGAUAUCUAGCCUUGAAAUGUCCUAACACUUGCAACCAUACUAUUGGGAUUACACAAAUCCAAUAACAUGUCCCCUUUAUAAAGACCAAGCAAACCUAAGCCACGUUUUUAUUUAUUUACCAAUUUCACAAUUCACUCAAGCACCUGCACUAAUACACAACAAGUGGCCGUUCAUUAAGGCCGAAAAACCUGUACAAUUAAUUGGUGGCUAGAAGCUUGAUGCCACCCAUUUAUAAUAGCUCAACAAGGUGUCGUCAGUAUUAACGCCACCCUAUAAGUACACUCAAUUGUAAAUACAGAAUAGGAUAGUCCAGUGCCACCCAUUAAUUCCCUCCCACCCGCAUUUUGAAUAACCAAAUAAAUACACUCAACAUACACUUAUUCAAGAAAGUACACUUAAUUGUUUUUAACAAAUGCUACAUCUCAAGACACAAGUCUAGGAAUUGCAGUUCAGAACACACAAUAAAGAAGCAACCGAUACAUAAGCUAAGUAAAGUUCAGCCACCAUUCUAGAAAUUUCAACCAAACAAAGGAAAUUGACACAAGCAGACAAAGGAAAUUGACAGAAGCCGUUGUGCACAGAUCUGAUGCUUCACUGUGGGGGCUUGCCAUAGCGAAGCUCCUCCAUAAUGAGUUCAAUGUAAUCAUAGCGCUCGGCAUCAUCAAAGCGUACGAAUGCACAUCUUUGUCCCGCAUUUCUUCUUUCGGCAAAGUACAUUUUCGUUUUCAGCUUAACCGAUUUUGGAAAUUGCAUUUUUUUCACCAUGUCUUGAACUACCGGUACACUGUAUUCUGCUUCCUCUUCAUACUGACUUUGAUUAAAUUCAUGCGAAGCGGUGGUGACACGAGAGAUUUUGCUGAUUGCAUCAUCUAGUCUUUCCCUAUCACUAGAUGAUUUUGUUGAUUUAGCACCUCUAGAUCCCUCACGAUCUCCGAGAGUGCCAAGACUUGAGGCAAAAUGCUUUCCAGAUGACGCUCCAGGUACCGGAGGUAUGUAGUAUACGUCCUCUCCCUCCCAAGGGUACUGCUGGUAGCCAGAGGUAGCUGAACUUGUGGCUGCAGCCUUUCCUUUGCUCUUUUGUGGCUUUCCAACAACUGGCCGUCGAUGUUCGCCCUCGAGGACAGGUUGCUUUGCAGAUUGUGCAUAGCUACCUGUUGCAGUUUUUCCUAAUGUUGUUGAAGUAUACAGAUCAUAUAGGAAGCAACUUCCAGCCACUUUGAAAUCUUUGUACUCUUUGUUCACCUAAACAAUACAAAACAAAAAAGUUAGUUCUCUACCAACAUUUAAAUUUAUGAGAAGUAGGAGGAAUGUACGCCCAUGUAAUAUGAUAGAAGCUUUCUCAAAUAAUAUGCUUAUGUAAAAAAAAGCGCAACGAUACAACACACUCUAAAACUGGUUGGUGAAAGCAGCAAACCUGGUUUGAUUAUUAACUGCCAUCAUCUAAAAAUUGAUUAAGUGUUUUUGGUAUACACUUCGGCUCAAGACUAGUCUGCAUAUCUAUUAGUAUGGCAGCAAGUUGGGCACAAAGAAAAAAUAAGAAAGGAUAAGUAGCAGGUAUUUCAAUAGUCGCUUACCGCUUCCAUUUGGGCCCAGUGCUCGUCGGAAGCCGUAAUGCAGUUAUUCUCUUCAUCCCAGCCAAUCCCAGUCUCCGCUUUCGAUGACAAACCACGAAAAUUGGCAAACACGUUCCACUUCUUCCUAAACCUAUACAUUCUUGAUUGGCAUUGGCCUCCGGUGACUUGCAUCUCAAAUUGUUCCAGCAAACAUGUGGCAAGCAUAUCAUAAUUCUGGUCAUUUGUCUUGUGAUUAUCUCAUUUCUUCGUUUGCUUCCACUCAACAUAGGUGGUGAUGAAGUUGAAGUCCAUGGUAGAAGUCCACUACAAUUUCUCGUUCAUCUGCUACAUAUAAGAACACAAAUUUUACCAUUAAAAGUUAAAACAUGGCAGGUAAAUGUGACUAAUUCUGCCCCAACAAUUUGUAAAUAGAAUAGUAGAAGUGUUAAGGGCAAACGUGAUUUACAUGCUGAUUGUAGUUCUCCAUACACAGUUGAUAGUUAUUUGAAGCGAUGGAUGGUCUGGAAGACUCAAAGGAUGUGCAGCUAGUAGGAGAGGCUACAAAUAGAAGAAUUGAUUUCAGUUAUACACCAUGAACGAAUAUAUGAUACUUAUAAAGGUUAGAGGGACUUACAAUGGGAGUCAAUUUUUUGUUUAGCUGCGGUCAUUGGCUGAAUGAGCAAUGCAUUGAGCCAAUCGAAUACAUAACAACUCAAAUUGCAAUACCUAUAUCCAAAACAGGUGCAGCAGAUGUCAAUUUUUUUUUUACUUUUACUACUGAGCCUACUUUUGAACAAAGUCCACACCAAAUAUCCGUUCAAUCUAAAGAACGAAUACAGCGAAGGAAAUUUAUUUUCAUAAGUCUAUUUUUUCAUUUUUCGUUAUGAGUGUAAGCAGAAAUGAAUGAAUACAUUUUAACAGAUGCUACAACAGUCUCAUUUCUAAGCAACAAAAACAGUAACUUAGUGCCUCUUUAAUUUCAAUUAACUUUUAAGCAAUUUUAGCUUCAAUGACCUGGAACAAAUAUCUGUGCAGAAAUAAUACCAAACCGUUCCACCUCGCUACAUAUACAUUUCCAGACCUAUGGAUCUAAUAUAUCAAUUUUUCAAGUCUCUUAAUUUCUGUUAAUAAUCGUUCCCUGGCUGCAUGCAAAUAAAGAUGACCCUUUAGACACCCAUGCUAAUCACAUCCAUUUACAGGAUAAAUAAAUAUGGUACAAGAUAAAUAAUCGGACACCCAUGCUACCAUAGAGUAGCGUGCAAUUUAUAAACUCUCUAUUAGACAACCAAGCAAUCUUGAGCCGUAUACAAAAACAGAAUAGUAGUAUACAAAAAAAUAAAAAAAAAUCCGCCACAAUUCUAGAUAGAAUUUACUAUCUAGCUUCUCCAUUCUGUUAGGAAAAAAUUGAGCAUAAUAAACUGCAGGCACUCCUAUUGAUGUGUAACAUGUACCACUAGCAAUCAAAAUCCUAAUACCACCAUAUGCCACUUAACAGGUAACUGUUCUAAAGCAGAUAUUCUAACAUGAGGAACUACUAGUGAAACAGCCAUUGGUACUGAAAUAAAUUAUUAGUUUUAUCCACAUAAUAUCGGAUAAGAUUCUAUCCAGUUGAUUCAACUAAUUUGUUUAUCUGGCAGCCAAAACAGAGAAAUAAGUACGAAUAUGGCCUACUUCGGAUUGUUUUUUCUUUCCUUGUGGAAAACGAAAUAAUGCACUACAAUGUGAAAUCCGUUGAUAUGUAAUUGUUGGUUAAUUGCUUUGCGUAACAAUUAUGAAUAGCAGAUCUUUUGUUAGAUCCAAUUAUUUUUGUUGCUAACUGAUGAACUUCAGAGAAAUCUUUCAAACUCUAGUACCAGGAUCUACAUUCAAACGAGUUAAACAAUUAAAAUUAUAUCCAGAAUUUUUAAGGCAUCAACAAUUAACAGGUCAUAAAUGACCAACUUAAUACAACUACAUUGCAUAAAUAGAUCCGCCACUGUUUGGAUCUAAAAAAAGGUUUUUUGAUCUAUACUUCAUCAGAACAUCAGCCCAUAACAACAGGUCAAAACAUGCAAAUUUGGGUCGGUGCAAAUUAGUUGUUUCGAAGAGUAACUUCCCAGCAACCUAAAAGAAGGUCACCUGCUGUGCAGCUAUAGAAAAGGAAGGCUUCUUGACCCGCGGGGAAAAUAAAAGUGAAAGAUUGAGCAAAUACCUUGGAUUUAGCUGGAAUUUGUCUGCCAAAACCUUUUUUUCCUUCGCUGAAUUAGCAAAUUAUCCGUCGACGAAGGCUCAAGAUUUGUUAACUGAUCAGUGCUUUGCAUUGAAUUGAAGAAAUCAACUCUUCGUCCUGUACCAUGCGCUUGCUGACGGCUGCAAAAGUAACUUCAGAUGCGCAUGCGUUCGAUGGCUAUGGAUAUUUGGUGGAGAUGGACGAAUUUAAUUCAGUUUUGUAAAUGUUCAGCAUGUCGGGUGGUUGAUUCGUAAAGAGUAAAGCGUCCUGCAGCUUUGUGUGAUUUGCACUGUGGGACAACGUGCAUACACAAAGGGACAAAAAUAACGGGAAGUAAUCUUCAGCCGUUCAUCCAUUAUGUAAAUUGAGAUAAAGUACUAAAAAAAUGCUUACGUGGCAAGAGUUGGGAAAAAAAUCAGGCGUGAGUACAUUUGCUGGAUUAUUUAACCUAUCCAAACAUCCUAAGGCGCAUUAUCAGUAAUUUAUUCAGAUUAGAGCAAUCCAAACGCACUCACUACUAGUUAUGGAUGGCACGAGUUCAUGACUAGUUUAGUUCUAUUGAGUUGACAAAUAUUGGGUCAAAAUUAAGCGUACUUGGAAGGAUCAGUGCACUCUUUUUAGCAGUUGUAGCAGAAUGAUAAUGGAAGAACUCCUAUUAAUUUAAAUCCCGUUUGGAGCUGCUGUGUUAUAAAGAAACUCUUCUAAUACAAAUACUUCUAAUAAAAAGUGCUUUAAAUUAUCAAACCAAGAGUAUUUAUGUUACCAAAAAUUAGUCACCAAAUACUCUAGAAAUACUUUUAGUGAUCCUCGAAAAUACAUACUUUUAAUGCUUAAGAAGAUUUUUUUUUCUGCUGAAAUUGUUUGUUAUUCGUUGCAUAAAUGGUACUUCAGGUUUUAUUGCUAAUUUGGAUAAAUGCAUUUGUAGAAAUGGCGAAAAGCAAGCUGAAAAUAGUUAUUAAAUAUCAUAUGGACUUGACAACAUAUAUUCCUGCAUAUGUUUCUUAUGGACUUGACUCAAGUAUAUUUUCCCUUGUAAGUAAAAUAUAUCUUCUACUAGUUGUUUAUUUUGACAGCUCAUUUUAUCUUGUUAGGAGUUGUACCAUUCUUGUUUUCGUUUUGCAGGAACCACUCGAUGUUCCCGAAUUAUCUACAAUUGAAGAAAUUGAUCUUCCAGACAUUUGAAGGCUAUUUUUUAGAAUAUGU
rnacentral:lncRNA from 1 species